AGUGGUGAUUUGGUCUCAACAUUUUCACCCUCUUCUGUGUUUCGUGCUCCGCAGGAUGAAUGCACUAGCGAUGAUUUAGCAUCUGUCGUGGGCACCAGACCUGCGGUUGCCUCUGAAGAAUAAGAGAAUGGAGAUUAAUGGCGAGCAUGAGACCUGAAGGAAGGAUUCCUCAUGGGGCACCUGCUUAGGAUGACAUCUUCGUUGUUGGAACCGGAGACCCGUAACAGAAGCUCAAGGUGAUUUCAGCCUCUACUAUGAUCAAUAUCAUUUUCAGGAAAGAGCACGGUGAGUAAUGCUCAAAAAUUUCUUCUUGGUUUGUGUUGUUUAAGUGUUUUCAUAAUAUUCUUUGAA
rnacentral:lncRNA from 1 species